rnacentral:rRNA from 1 species
GAUGAACGCUGGCGGCGUGCCUAAUACAUGCAAGUCGAACGCUUUGUGGUUCAACUGAUUUGAAGAGCUUGCUCAGAUAUGACGAUGGACAUUGCAAAGAGUGGCGAACGGGUGAGUAACACGUGGGAAACCUACCUCUUAGCAGGGGAUAACAUUUGGAAACAGAUGCUAAUACCGUAUAACAAUGACAACCGCAUGGUUGUUAUUUAAAAGAUGGUUCUGCUAUCACUAAGAGAUGGUCCCGCGGUGCAUUAGCUAGUUGGUAAGGUAAUGGCUUACCAAGGCGAUGAUGCAUAGCCGAGUUGAGAGACUGAUCGGCCACAAUGGGACUGAGACACGGCCCAUACUCCUACGGGAGGCAGCAGUAGGGAAUCUUCCACAAUGGGCGAAAGCCUGAUGGAGCAACGCCGCGUGUGUGAUGAAGAGUUUCGGCUCGUAAAACACUGUUGUAAGAGAAGAAUGACAUUGAGAGUAACUGUUCAAUGUGUGACGGUAUCUUACCAGAAAGGAACGGCUAAAUACGUGCCAGCAGCCGCGGUAAUACGUAUGUUCCAAGCGUUAUCCGGAUUUAUUGGGCGUAAAGCGAGCGCAGACGGUUAUUUAAGUCUGAAGUGAAAGCCCUCAGCUCAACUGAGGAAUUGCUUUGGAAACUGGAUGACUUGAGUGCAGUAGAGGAAAGUGGAACUCCAUGUGUAGCGGUGAAAUGCGUAGAUAUAUGGAAGAACACCAGUGGCGAAGGCGGCUUUCUGGACUGUAACUGACGUUGAGGCCCGAAAGUGUGGGUAGCAAACAGGAUUAGAUACCCUGGUAGUCCACACCGUAAACGAUGAGUGCUAGGUGUUUGAGGGUUUCCGCCCUUAAGUGCCGCAGCUAACGCAUUAAGCACUCCGCCUGGGGAGUACGACCGCAAGGUUGAAACUCAAAGGAAUUGACGGGGACCCGCACAAGCGGUGGAGCAUGUGGUUUAAUUCGAAGCAACGCGAAGAACCUUACCAGGUCUUGACAUCCCUUGACAACUCCAGAGAUGGAGCGUUCCCUUCGGGGACAAGGUGACAGGUGGUGCAUGGUUGUCGUCAGCUCGUGUCGUGAGAUGUUGGGUUAAGUCCCGCAACGAGCGCAACCCUUAUUACUAGUUGCCAGCAUUCAGUUGGGCACUCUAGUGAGACUGCCGGUGACAAACCGGAGGAAGGUGGGGAUGACGUCAAAUCAUCAUGCCCCUUAUGACCUGGGCUACACACGUGCUACAAUGGCGUAUACAACGAGUUGCCAACCCGCGAGGGUGAGCUAAUCUCUUAAAGUACGUCUCAGUUCGGAUUGUAGGCUGCAACUCGCCUACAUGAAGUCGGAAUCGCUAGUAAUCGCGGAUCAGCACGCCGCGGUGAAUACGUUCCCGGGUCUUGUACACACCGCCCGUCACACCAUGAGAGUUUGUAACACCCAAAGCCGGUGGGGUAACCUUCGGGAGCCAGCCGUCUAAGGUGGGACAGAUGAUUAGGGUG